CACUAUGUGCAGCAGGCAGCGCGGUGCCUUUGGAGCCAUCAGCAGCCCAUACGAGAGGCGGCCGUCAGGUUCCUGGGGCUCGCCGGGCAGCACCUGAGGGGGCAUCAGGAAUUGCUGCAGCCCAUCCAUGAGGCCCUUGAAAACCUGCCAGAAGACACCAUCUCGUCAGUAGCAAACCUGGCAGCUCAAACGCAGUGCACCCUGAGAGAUGCAGAGAGAGCAGCUCCCUCCAGACUCAGCCUGCGAGAGUGGCUCCGCAGGGCCUGGAGCAGACGGCCUUCUCUCUGGGCCCGUCGCUGACCGGGCAGCUGGAGCUCUGAGCGGGGCCCAUGCCAGGGGCUAUUCCAUGAGCUCCUCCCUGUGCUCCAUGGCAAACCUUGGACCUACCAGCAGUUUU